rnacentral:tRNA from 1 species
GCAGACCUGACGGAUAGUUGAUGCAACUUUGCCAAGGUUGGGGUCGAGGGUUCGAAUCCCUUCGCCCGCUCCA